GGCGAGGGGUCCUUGCAAUGGGGGCCUUGCGAACCUGGUCAGGGUGGAGACACCGCAGCCAUAAGCUUGUGUCUCUUUGUGUGGGGGGCCUCUCGCCGAC
rnacentral:SRP_RNA from 1 species